CAGCCGCCACGGGAAUACGUAGGGUGCAAGCGUUAAUCGGAAUUACUGGGCGUAAAGCGUGCGUAGGUGGUGGUUUAAGUCCGUUGUGAAAGCCCUGGGCUCAACCUGGGAAUUGCAGUGGAUACUGGGUCACUAGAGUGUGGUAGAGGAUAGUGGAAUUUCCGGUGUAGCAGUGAAAUGCGUAGAGAUCGGAAGGAACAUCUGUGGCGAAGGCGACUAUCUGGGCCAACACUGACACUGAGGCACGAAAGCGUGGGGAGCAAACAGGAUUAGAUACCCCUGUAGUCCCUGUCUCUUAUAC
rnacentral:rRNA from 1 species